AAAAGCCUUCAUGACAGCUCUUGAAAUACAGUCACGUGUCACUUAACGAUGGGGAACACUCUGAGAAAUGACAGUGUCAUUGUUGUACGAACAUCAGAGUGUACCUACCCAAACCUGAAUGGUGCAGCCUGCUCCACUCCCAGACUACGGACAGCCUGUCGCUCCGAGGCUACAGACCUGUGCAGCGUAUGACUACCGAAUACUGUAGGCAACUGUAACACAACGCCUUUACCUCAAAACGCAUGCUUGCCUGCAAGCAUUGCUAUGGAAGAUUCCAGAGGGCACAGACCGUUAUAAGCUUCUUUCAGUCAAUGCAGUUGCAGAGUCUCACUCUGUAGCCCAGGAUGGAGUACAGUGGCGCUAGCUCGGCUCACCGCAACGUCUGCCUCCCAGGUUCAAGCGAUUCUCCCGCCUCAGCCUCCCAAGUAGCUGGGACUACAGUGAUGGGGUCUCAUUACGUUGCUCAAGCUGGUUUUGAACUCCUAGCCUCAAGUAACCCUCCUGCCUUGGCCUCCCAAAGCAAUGAAAUCACAGGCACGAGUCAUGGUACACAGACCAAAAUUAAAACAAGAUGUUAACUAGGAUGCCGUACGUGGAGAGCCAGCAACGAAAUGUGUCAGAUAAAAUUUGGUAAACCCUAGAGCACUCUUCUGAAAAUAAGCCAAAGAUCUUUAGGAUUUAGAAAUGAAUUAUGUAUUAGCAGACCACAUAAUUAGUGUAUAAAACAAUAAAGAACUUUAAUGAAACUACA
rnacentral:lncRNA from 13 species